ACUCAAAGGAAUUGACGGGGGCCCGCACAAGCGGAGGAACAUGUGGUUUAAUUCGAUGAUACGCGAGGAACCUUACCCGGGCUAGAACGCAGAAGGAAUAUUUGGGAAACUGGAUAGCCGCAAGGUCUUCUGCGAGGUGCUGCAUGGUUGUCGUCAGCUCGUGCCGUGAGGUGUCGGCUUAAGUGCCAUAACGAGCGCAACCCUUAUUGUUAGUUGCCAGCGAUUCAAGUCGGGGACUCUAGCAAAACUGCCUGCGUAAGCUGUGAGGAAGGUGGGGAUGACGUCAAAUCAGCACGGCCCUUACGUCCGGGGCGACACACGUGUUACAAUGGGGGGUACAGAGGGUAGCUACCACGCGAGUGGAUGCCAAUCUUUAAAUCCUCUCUCAGUUCGGAUCGAAGUCUGCAACUCGACUUCGUGAAGCUGGAUUCGCUAGUAAUCGCGCAUCAGCCAUGGCGCGGUGAAUACGUUCCCGGGCCUUGUACACACCGCCCGU
rnacentral:rRNA from 1 species